rnacentral:rRNA from 1 species
GUGGGGAAUAUUGGGCAAUGGGGGCAACCCUGACCCAGUAACGCCGCGUGAGGGAAGAAGGUUUUCGGAUUGUAAACCUCUGUCCUAUGGGAAGAAGGAAGUGACGGUACCAUAGGAGGAAGCCCCGGCUAACUACGUGCCAGCAGCCGCGGUAAUACGUAGGGGGCGAGCGUUGUCCGGAAUUACUGGGCGUAAAGGGUGCGCAGGUGGCCUGACAAGUCAGAUGUGAAAUACCGAUGCUUAACGUCGGGGCUGCAUUUGAAACUAUGAGGCUGGAGUGCAGGAGAGGGAAGCGGAAUUCCUAGUGUAGCGGUGAAAUGCAUAGAUAUUAGGAGGAACACCAGUGGCGAAGGCGGCUUUCUGGACUGUAACUGACACUGAGGCACGAAAGCGUGGGGAGCAAACAGGAUUAGAAACCCGGGUAGUCC